AGAGUUUGAUCCUGGCUCAGGAUGAACGCUAGCGGGAGGCCUAACACAUGCAAGUCGAACGGGAUUGAGAGCUUGCUCUCAUGAGAGUGGCGCACGGGUGAGUAACGCGUAUGCAACCUACCUAUAACUGAGGGAUAGCCCAUAGAAAUGUGGAUUAAUACCUCAUAGUUCUUUUGUUCCGCAUGGGAUGAAGGAUAAAGCUCCGGCGGUUAUAGAUGGGCAUGCGUGACAUUAGCUAGUUGGUAAGGUAACGGCUUACCAAGGCUACGAUGUCUAGGGGUUCUGAGAGGAUGAUCCCCCACACUGGUACUGAGACACGGACCAGACUCCUACGGGAGGCAGCAGUGAGGAAUAUUGGUCAAUGGGCGCAAGCCUGAACCAGCCAUCCCGCGUGCAGGAUGAAGGCCCUAUGGGU
rnacentral:rRNA from 1 species